rnacentral:rRNA from 1 species
UACGUAGGGGCCUAGCGUUGUCCGGAAUUAUUGGGCGUAAAGAGCUCGUAGGUGGUUCGGCAAGUCGGAUGUGAAAUCUCCACGCUUAACGUGGAGGGGCCAUUCGAAACUGCUGUGACUUGAGUCCGGUAGGGGAGUAUGGAAUUCCUGGUGUAGUGGUGAAAUGCGUAGAUAUCCGGAGGAACACCAGUGGCGAAGGCGGCCUUCUGGGAUGCUCCUGACGCUCAGACACGAAAGCUAGGGGAGCGAACGGG